UUGCCGAAUCCAGUCCACCAGCUCGAACCGGCCCGAUAGAAAAGAAAAAAAACUCCAUCCUGCCUCCCCCGAACCACCCACUUCCCGAUCCCAUCUCGCCACUGUCGCCACCCCUUCCCCUGCCGCCGUGCGCCACCACCCCUCGCGCCACGGCCGGCCUCCCUCGUUCCAGCGUGCCGCCGGCCUCCCCCGUUCCAGCGCGCCGCGACCGGCCUCCCUCGUUCCAGCGCGCUGACGGCCUCCCCCGUUCCAGCUCACCGCGGCCGGCCUCCCCCGUUCCAGCACGCCUCCAUGGGCCUCCCCGUUCCAGCGCGCCACCGCAGGCUUCCCCCUUCCAGCGCGGCGCUGCGAGACUGACCGCCGCCCCCUGGCUUCAAUCUGCCGCCGUCGGAUCCCCUGGCUUCCACCUGCCGCCGUCGUCCCCCUAGCUUCACCUGCCGCCGUGGCCUCCCUGCUUCCACCAGCCGUCGUCGGGGGUCACCCCCGACACCUCCACCGUCGCCACGCGCGACGCGCCUCCUCCCAAGGACGCGGUCGCCUCCCCGCCUCCUACCAGCGACGCGACCACUCCUCCCGGCAGUGCGCCAUGUGUGGCCCAUGUUUCGGCGUCGCCCUCUGGGGCCUCAGCGCGCAGGACGUUCAACUCCGCCACCUGAGGUCAUUCACCUCUGCCACCUAAAGCCGUUCACCACCACCAGUCCCCGUCCAAGGCUGCCCCGAUGACCCGUGCGUUAACGCCCCUAUCAACCCCAUGGGAUUUUGUUUCUCUCGGCUUCAAAAAGAGAGGCAACAAGUAGCAAGGGAAAAAGAAGAGCAUGAUUGACAUCCGUAGUCAAAAUGAGCUUUGGACAUCAGGUGGUUCAACGUGUCGAGCGGUAGCAGCGCAUGCUCCGAAUGGUUGCCGGCGCAAGGAGGAUACAGGGAUGCUACAUUGCUGGAGGAGCAGUAGCAUGUAGUAGCUAGCUGAAGAAAAAGUAUCCGCACAGCCAGCGGCCUGCUCUGGCCAUGCCGCACCACCACUGGCAUGUCCACCAUGGUUGCUGGCAGCCGUCCAAGUUGAGCGCUGAUGAAGAGGAAGAUGUAGGGGUGGACUACUCAGGGCCUUUGCUGCUGGAGUCACGGCGUCUCGACAAGCUCAUGCAGAGCUACGGAUCCAGCGAGUUGCCCGUGUCGAUGAAAUGCAUGAUAAUUAAUUCCCUUGAAACCGCCAUUGGUAACCUCAUUCUUCUUUCUCGACCGGAAACAAGAGGGAGCUACAGCACUGAGACAGAUGGAGAUGCACACAUGCCAUGAUCAACACAUGCUAGACUCCGUGUAGAAUGCUCAAUUUUUCCCCUGGACUCUUGCGGCAAUUGAACUGUUUGCUGCGGAACUCCUACGUUUCGAACGAAAUGGUUACCAUGCAUCCGGGCUUAUGUAUAUGAAGAUUGUAUAGAGCUGCAGAUCACAAGAACACAUGCACUAUAGUGUCCACUUGUUGUCACUUCCCAUCUCCUGUAUUAUUCCAUCUGUAGCUCAGUCGGUUGUGCCUUGCUAAUGCCCUUUUAUUUAUUGAUGAAACAAUAGAAAAACGCCCUGUUGGUGCCUAGGAA